GUGGUGGUUCAGUGGUUAGAGCGUCCGCUUUGGAUGAGGGAGGUAAUGGGUUCUAUCCCCGGUCGAAUCA